GCUCAGGACGAACGCUGGUGGCGUGCUUAACACAUGCAAGUCGAACGGUGAUGCCCAGCUUGCUGGGUGGAUCAGUGGCGAACGGGUGAGUAACACGUGAGCAACCUGCCCCCUACUUCGGGAUAAGCCUUGGAAACGGGGUCUAAUACCGGAUAUGAACACUUGCCGCAUGGUGGGUGUUGGAAAGUUUUUCGGUGGGGGAUGGGCUCGCGGCCUAUCAGCUUGUUGGUGGGGUAAUGGCCUACCAAGGGCGUCGACGGGUAGCCGGCCUGAGAGGGCGACCGGCCACACUGGGACUGAGACACGGCCCAGACUCCUACGGGAGGCAGCAGUGGGGAAUAUUGCACAAUGGGCGAAAGCCUGAUGCAGCGACGCCACGUGAGGGAUGACGGCCUUCGGGUUGUAAACCUCUUUCAGCAGGGAAGAAGCGCAAGUGACGGUACCUGCAGAAGAAGCGCCGGCUAACUACGUGCCAGCAGCCGCGGUAAUACGUAGGGCGCAAGCGUUGUCCGGAAUUAUUGGGCGUAAAGAGCUCGUAGGCGGUCUGUCGCGUCUGGUGUGAAAUCCCAUGGCUCAACUGUGGGCUUGCAUCGGGUACGGGCAGACUAGAGUGCUGUAGGGGAGACUGGAAUUCCUGGUGUAGCGGUGGAAUGCGCAGAUAUCAGGAGGAACACCGAUGGCGAAGGCAGGUCUCUGGGCAGUUACUGACGCUGAGGAGCGAAAGCAUGGGGAGCGAACAGGAUUAGAUACCCUGGUAGUCCAUGCCGUAAACGUUGGGCACUAGGUGUGGGGCCAGUUCCACUGGUUCUGUGCCGCAGCUAACGCAUUAAGUGCCCCGCCUGGGGAGUACGGCCGCAAGGCUAAAACUCAAAGGAAUUGACGGGGGCCCGCACAAGCGGCGGAGCAUGCGGAUUAAUUCGAUGCAACGCGAAGAACCUUACCAAGGCUUGACAUGUACGAGAAAGCCCCAGAGAUGGGGUUCUCUUUGGACACUCGUACACAGGUGGUGCAUGGUUGUCGUCAGCUCGUGUCGUGAGAUGUUGGGUUAAGUCCCGCAACGAGCGCAACCCUUAUCCUAUGUUGCCAGCGGGUUAUGCCGGGGACUCAUGGGAGACUGCCGGGGUCAACUCGGAGGAAGGUGGGGAUGACGUCAAAUCAUCAUGCCCCUUAUGUCUUGGGCUUCACGCAUGCUACAAUGGCCGGUACAGAGGGCUGCGAUACCGUGAGGUGGAGCGAAUCCCAAAAAGCCGGUCUCAGUUCGGAUCGGGGUCUGCAACUCGACCCCGUGAAGUCGGAGUCGCUAGUAAUCGCAGAUCAGCAACGCUGCGGUGAAUACGUUCCCGGGCCUUGUACACACCGCCCGUCAAGUCACGAAAGUUGGUAACACCCGAAGCUCACGGCCCAACCCCUUGUGGGAGGGAGUGGUCGAAGGUGGGACUGGCGAUUGGGACUAAGUCGUAACAAGGUAGCCGUACCGGAAGGUGCGGCUGGAUCACCUCC
rnacentral:rRNA from 1 species